UGGGCGGUUCUUCAGAGCACUGAAUAAAUAUUCAGCACUCCUCAGAUAUUUCUAACAGAGUUAUCACUGUUUGUGAAACGUUGCUUUAUAUAAUACCACCUCCUGCUUUCGUACCAGAAAUAUGUCACAUGACAGGCUGCGAGCUGGUGAAUGUCUUUCCAAAGGCCAGUACAUAAUGUCCCCAAAUAGCAAGUUUGCAGUUAUGUUGCAGGAUGGCAACAAACAUCCCCUGUUGCUAAAAUGAAGAACCAAGGCAUGAGAAAAGACUGUAAUUUUGCAAAACAAACCUGAUGGCAAUUUUGUCCUGUAUGAACUGAAUGCCAUUUGGUCAACCGAUACAUAUCAUCACCCAGAUGUUGUUAAAAUCUGUAUGCAAGAAGAUAACAACCUCGUAAUUUAUGACCAAAAAGAUCAUCCAUACUGGGCAUCCAAUACUUACAACGCUGUCGGCAGUAAAUGCGUACUGAGAGUACAGGAUGAUGGCAAUCUGGUGAUCUACCGCAGCGAGAACGCCAUGACGAGCAAAGAUGCCAUCUGGGCAAGCAACACAGGACGCUAGCAAAUAAAGAUUUGAAAAACCCAAUGAAAAUUACUGCCAUGUCAAAUAUAUCAUUUUCCUCAGUUGUCACAGGACUUAAAUUGCACAGAUGGUUACAAAACACUAUAUAUUUGCAUUUUUAUUAGCAAACCUAAGCUUUUCUCUUAUUUGUACUGAAUACAUCUAAUUAAAUUUAGCUAUAAGCUGUAUGGUGUAUUAUGGAUUGGACAGAACAAGCUAUUCAUGUAAUUUGUGACUUACACAAAGACUGCACCUUAGACUGGGUUUAAGAAAAGAUAGACCAGCAUGCUGAAGGUUAGCUAAAUUACGUUAUAUAUACAUUGUCACACUGCAAGCAUAGACGACAGAUUUAAACAGAAUCACUUCAGCAACAGUUCAUUUUAAAAAGACCUCUGGAAUCUCAAAGAAACUUUGUGAAACUUGCAAAAGAUUUUCAAAUAUACAGUGAAGUGACGUGAAUCUGCCUAAUUAGACAUACAGAUUUGAAUGAUAUGGAUAAAUACCUUUGUAUUUUCUUUCAUGAAUGUUAUUUUUACACAUACUCCAUCAGGAAUUUAAAGGCUUUUUUAUGUAUUAGCAGUCAUUUAUCUUAAUAAACAUACUAAGGUAA